rnacentral:rRNA from 1 species
GUGGUAUCCUGUCUGAAUAUGGGGGGACCAUCCUCCAAGGCUAAAUACUCCUGACUGACCGAUAGUGAACCAGUACCGUGAGGGAAAGGCGAAAAGAACCCCGGCGAGGGGAGUGAAAAAGAACCUGAAACCGUGUACGUACAAGCAGUGGGAGCCCCACCACCAAAGCAUUUGCUGUACCGCGUUGACGGAGCGAAGCGACGUCAAACCGAUAAAACAGCAGUGUAAAGUGAGCCGCAGGGCGCUUUGCGCGACAGCGCAAAGGCAGGCGGUUUCGCGUAGCGAAAGCGAAUGCUUUGGGGUGGGGUGACUGCGUACCUUUUGUAUAAUGGGUCAGCGACUUAUAUUCUGUAGCAAGGUUAACCGAAUAGGGGAGCCGGAGGGAAACCGAGUCUUAAUUGGGCGUUAAGUUGCAGGGUAUAGACCCGAAACCCGGUGAUCUAGCCAUGGGCAGGUUGAAGGUUGGGUAACACUAACUGGAGGACCGAACCGACUAAUGUUGAAAAAUUAGCGGAUGACCUGUGGCUGGGGGUGAAAGGCCAAUCAAACCGGGAGAUAGCUGGUUCUCCCCGAAAGCUAUUUAGGUAGCGCCUCGUGAAUUCAUCUCCGGGGGUAGAGCACUGUUUCGGCUAGGGGGCCAUCCCGGCUUACCAACCCGAUGCAAACUGCGAAUACCGGAGAAUGUUAUCACGGGAGACACACGGCGGGUGCUAACGUCCGUCGUGAAGAGGGAAACAACCCAGACCGCCAGCUAAGGUCCCAAAGUCAUGGUUAAGUGGGAAACGAUGUGGGAAGGCCCAGACAGCCAGGAUGUUGGCUUAGAAGCAGCCAUCAUUUAAAGAAAGCGUAAUAGCUCACUGGUCGAGUCGGCCUGCGCGGAAGAUGUAACGGGGCUAAACCAUGCACCGAAGCUGCGGCAGCGACACUGUGUGUUGUUGGGUAGGGGAGCGUUCUGUAAGCCUGUGAAGGUGUGUCGUGAGGCAUGCUGGAGGUAUCAGAAGUGCGAAUGCUGACAUAAGUAACGAUAAAGCGGGUGAAAAGCCCGCUCGCCGGAAGACCAAGGGUUCCUGUCCAACGUUAAUCGGGGCAGGGUGAGUCGACCCCUAAGGCGAGGCCGAAAGGCGUAGUCGAUGGGAAACGGGUUAAUAUUCCCGUACUUGGUGUUACUGCGAAGGGGGGACGGAGAAGGCUAUGUUGGCCGGGCGACGGUUGUCCCGGUUUAAGCGUGUAGGUGUGUGUUCCAGGUAAAUCCGGUUCACUUUAACACUGAGGCGUGACGACGAGGCACUACGGUGCUGAAGCAACAAAUGCCCUGCUUCCAGGAAAAGCCUCUAAGCAUCAGGUAACAUCAAAUCGUACCCCAAACCGACACAGGUGGUCAGGUAGAGAAUACCAAGGCGCUUGAGAGAACUCGGGUGAAGGAACUAGGCAAAAUGGUGCCGUAACUUCGGGAGAAGGCACGCUGACACGUAGGUGAAGUGAUUUACUCAUGGAGCUGAAGUCAGUCGAAGAUACCAGCUGGCUGCAACUGUUUAUUAAAAACACAGCACUGUGCAAACACGAAAGUGGACGUAUACGGUGUGACGCCUGCCCGGUGCCGGAAGGUUAAUUGAUGGGGUCAGCGCAAGCGAAGCUCCUGAUCGAAGCCCCGGUAAACGGCGGCCGUAACUAUAACGGUCCUAAGGUAGCGAAAUUCCUUGUCGGGUAAGUUCCGACCUGCACGAAUGGCGUAAUGAUGGCCAGGCUGUCUCCACCCGAGACUCAGUGAAAUUGAACUCGCUGUGAAGAUGCAGUGUACCCGCGGCAAGACGGAAAGACCCCGUGAACCUUUACUAUAGCUUGACACUGAACAUUGAGCCUUGAUGUGUAGGAUAGGUGGGAGGCUUUGAAGUGUGGACGCCAGUCUGCAUGGAGCCGACCUUGAAAUACCACCCUUUAAUGUUUGAUGUUCUAACGUGGACCCGUUACCCGGGUUGCGGACAGUGUCUGGUGGGUAGUUUGACUGGGGCGGUCUCCUCCUAAAGAGUAACGGAGGAGCACGAAGGUUGGCUAAUCCUGGUCGGACAUCAGGAGGUUAGUGCAAUGGCAUAAGCCAGCUUGACUGCGAGCGUGACGGCGCGAGCAGGUGCGAAAGCAGGUCAUAGUGAUCCGGUGGUUCUGAAUGGAAGGGCCAUCGCUCAAC